GCCGGGUGUGGUGGUGCAUGCCUGUAAUCCCAGCUACUCAGGAGGCUGAGGUAGGAGAAUCGCUUGAACCCCGGAGGCAUAGGUUGCAGUGAGCCAAGAUCGCACCACUGCACUCCAGCCUGGGUGACAGAGCGAGACUCCAUCUCGA
rnacentral:SRP_RNA from 1 species